AGAGCAGCCGGGACUCAAACCUUGCCCACAUGGGAUACUGGCACUGCAGAUGGCAGCUUAACCCAUUGUGCCACAACACCAGCCCCUCUUCUUUCACUUUUUAAUUAAGGCUUGGGAUUUAUUUAGCUUUUCUCUCUUCCCUAAGGGUACAGGUGGAUUCCACUGGGCCUCAGGAAGGGACUUGAGGACACCUGAUCCUCUGUCGAUGUA
rnacentral:lncRNA from 1 species